UUGGUUCCUGCUCCUCUGAUAUCACCAGUCAUUACUUGAACAUUGUAUGUAAUCCCUGAAGAGGCAGAGAAAGUUCAUGCUUAAAGUGUAGAAAACACAAGGUUGUGGCAUUUAUUGUCACACCCAUUGGUUGCAGUGAUCCAACCAAGACGUCUCUCUGUAUUUUGCCAUCAUCUUCAUCCAUGGCAAACCAGCGAUUCACUGGAAAUUCAUAUAUUUCUUUAUUGCCCAUAUCAUCUAUCACAACCUGUGAGAAACCAGCCAGCUGAGGAACCUCUGUUGUUGUGGCCGAUGGUGAUUUUUCUAAGCCUUCCCAGGUUUGGAGCCUCUAUUGUAAACUUG